UAUCUCAGCGGAUAGGACAACCACAACAUCAAUUCGAUUGUCUGUUUGUUUUGUUUUUGUUUUCUGAUUUACCAGUUACCGAUCAUGUGAACAUGGCAAACGACUAUACUAUGGAUUACCUUAUUUAUGAUUGUCAUUGUAAUGGUUUCGCAUAGCUAAAUGCUUCAUGAAGGGUAAAUCUGCGCGAUAUCAUUUGGAAAAUGACCAUCAAAUGGAUUUCUUGAUUUUCAUGGUAGUGCACUAAACCAUUUCUGUGAGUCACUCACUGAUAUCAAUAUACCAUACGAUGAGUAGACAUCAUGCAUGGUAAGCACUGAAAUAAUUUACCAUAUUGGUAAUGCCCUAACGAGAAAUGUUAGAUUUUGACUGUUAGGCUGGUGAUUAGACAUUAGACAUGGAUAUGUAUCGUCCUCACCUAAAUUUGGAUGUGCACAUGUCUGUUUCAGAAAGAAAGUUAAGGACAGGAGAAGAUGAGCACAUUAGCUCAGGCAUACCAGUGAUUUUAUAUCUACGUUGAUUGUAUCUGUUAGAAAAAUGGAAAUGUAUUUAACAUUGGAUUUUAACUGAAUAGUCGUAUGUGUAAUAUUUUUCAAAUGCAAUCAUUGAUGUCAUAAAAUCUUCGAGAGCUGUGCCGUAUCACGACAGAAUUGUUUACCGUAAAUCAUACUUUUGAAGGCAUUCUUGUAAUCAUUGUUAAUUUUUUCUCAUUUUCUAAUAUACCACCGUUUUAACUCUUCGUAUACUCGCUUUUCCGAUUGCAUAAUGAUAAUACUUAGCACAAAAACAAUUCUGUAGCGGUAAGAUCCUCUUUUUUCGCGCCUUUUUUGGGGGGGAAGGGGGUAUAGGGGGUAGAUAUUUAUGGACUUGACUACUUGAGUGUAGUUAUAGCUUGACUCGCUCCGGAAGUAUUCGUUCCGUGCUGUCUGUCAAACAGGUUGAUUUAGAUUUACUUCGAAUUUUGCUAAAAGAUGCCACCAAAAUCAAAAGAGUGUGUUUCAAGUAAUCAAGUCCAAAGGAUAAAAAGCGGAGUAAAAAACGUCAGCAGCUUAAAGCUACCAACCAAUUGUGAACAGAAUAACAUUAUGGAGAAUAAUCUUAGAAUUGCUCAACAAAAUUCUUCCGAACUACAGAUUCAGGUGAUAAGUUUAAUAGAAAAUUACAAUAAAAAAAAUCUUACGAAAUUCCUACAUUUUAAUUGUUCUGAAAAUAAGCAAAAGCUUUUAACUGAUAGUGAUUAGUCAUAUCUUGCCCGUUAAUACCCGAGGGCGAACCUGGAAGGGUCUUGUUUCUUUGGUCUAGUUCUUUUCAUCGGAGACGCUGUCCGUGAAGGUUUGGUGCAGUCUUACAGGAAACUCUCUCACCUGACAUUUUUCGGCUCAUCAAUGCCCGAUGAAGAUCAUGAAGUCCAAGCUUCUUCAUAGCAUUAUGUGUACUUGAUAGCUGCCGUGGAAUUAAGGUUUUCAUGGACGGUUUGAUUGAGCUAUUUUGCUGUGGCUGUUUGGGGUGCAGUGGUUCUCCAGUAGAGAUGCGUUGGAAUGGAGCUUGUGCAGACUUGUUGUUUAAUGAGUGUGUCCACCAGGGGGCAAGUUCCUGGUUUUAGCAAAUUGGCAACAUGGCAAGCUUAUGCCGCUGACGUCAUUUCUGUUACGGAUGCUGUGCUGUCAGUUACUGUGUUCGUGGUCAGUCAAUCAGUCAACUUUAACAUUGUUCUUCACAAAUAUUCUCUUGGAUUAAAGGAUUGGUGAAGUUGAGCUUUUUCAAGGCAGUCCACUUCGUUUGAUUUGUUGCGGCCAGCUGGUUAACGGUGUGGUGAGCUGUUGUAUUAAGACUGUGUGCUGUUGUGAAGAGCUUCUGCAUGCAGUCUGUGGUGCUGGUGGUCGAAGUGCUGCAUGCUGUCAAUGGAGUGUAGUGCUAGCUUUAAAUUUAAUGAACUCACUGCUGUAACACUUGAGUGUAGGAAUCAUUCAUUUUAUUAAUGUGAGCUUGAGUUAGAAUUUCAGUUCUUUCAUUAACUUUUUUAUCAUUUUUUUAUCACAUCUCAAAAUGUUAUUUGUUUAUUAAAGUUCUUUUGCUUGUUAGGUUUCCAAAGUCAGUUUUGAGUUUAUUUUGGUGGCUUUAUUUGGUCUGCAGUUCAUGUUUGGGUGGUUUUGUUGCAGCCAGUUGUUGAAAUGGAGUUCCAUGUCAAAUUGAGCUGCAGGUUUUGGAAGCUAUCUACCUUGCUGGUGUCAUCCUGAAGUGGAACAGAAAUGCAGUCGUCUUGGCAUCUUGCAAUGGACUCAUGAUGAUCUGAUGUAACUGCCUUGGUGAUAAUGAUGAUCAACCUGCUGUAUGCAGUCCAUGCUGCUGGUGUUCUCCAGAAAUAUUGAAGCAAGACUUGAAACAAAGCUGCAGGAAUAUUUGUAGGAAUGGAUUCUGAAAAUGUUCAGCGGUUUCGUACGCUGAUUUCUGUUCAAGAUUUCAUCCUGAAUUGCGCUGAAGUCCUUGCAGUAACUGAUUCCGGUACCAUCCUGAUGUUGCAGUGCCGAUGAAAUAUUAGUUGAUAAAAAAUUAUCUGUAUUUGUGUUACAUCAUCUUUAUGUGGUAGAAGAUAUUGAUGAUUUUUACUUUUCAGAAUGAUGUGUUGCAACAAAAGUUAUAACUGUGGUAAUUCUAGAUGUUGUAACCACCUCAACCCUGAUUAGGUCGUAACUUGUUUGUGUAUCAAAGUCAAACCUGCUAUCUUUGUUUUACUUGUAAACUUACUAUCGAAAUCUUUUUUUACAUAAUGUUAUGUUACAAUAAAU